AAAGAUUAAGCCAUGCAUGUCUAAGUAUAAACGAUCUAAUCGUGAAACCGCGAAUGGCUCAUUAUAACAGCUAUAAUUUACUUGAUCUUGACACUAUCCUACUUGGAUAACUGUGGUAAUUCUAGAGCUAAUACAUGCAUUAAAGCUCUGACCUCACGGGAAGAGUGCACUUAUUAGAACAAAACCAAGCGGCUUCGGCUGUUUUCGGUUGACUCAUAGUAACUGAGCUGAUCGCACGGUCUUGCACCGGCGACGUGUCUUUCAAGUAUCUGCCGUAUCAACUUUCGAUGGUAGUGUACCUGACUACCAUGGUGAUCACGCGUAACGGAGAAUAAGGGUUCGGCUCCGGAGAGUUCGCCUGAGAAAUCGCGAACACAUCUAAGGAAGACAGCAGGCGCGAAAAUUACCCACUCUCAGCACGAGGAGGUAGUGACGAAAAAUAACGAGACCGUUCUCUUAUGAGGCCGGUCAUCGGAAUGGGUACAAUUUAAACCCUUUAACGAGUAUCUAUGAGAGGGCAAGUCUGGUGCCAGCAGCCGCGGUAAUUCCAGCUCUCAAAGUGCAUAGAAUUAUUGCUGCGGUUAAAAAGCUCGUAGUUGGAUCUGUGCCAUAGGACGUGGUCCACCUUCUGGGUGCGUACUAUGUUCCUAGGCUUUUUGCUGGUUUUCCCGUCGUAGCCUUCAUUGGUUGCGGCGGGUGGCUGGCGAGUUUACUUUGAGAAAAUCAGAGUGCUCAACACAGGCGUAUCGCUUGAAUGAUUGUGCAUGGAAUAAUAGAAAAGGAUUUCGGUCCUCUUUUAUUGGUUUUGUGGACUGAGAUAAUGGUUAACAGGGACCAACGGGGGCAUUCGUAUCGCUGCGUGAGAGGUGAAAUUCUUGGACCGUAGCGAGACGCCCUACUGCGAAAGCAUUUGCCAAGAAUG
rnacentral:rRNA from 1 species